UACGUAGGGUGCGAGCGUUAAUCGGAAUUACUGGGCGCAAAGCGUGCGCAGGCGGUUCGUUGAGUCGGGGGUGAAAGCCCCGGGCUUAACCUGGGAAUGGCCAUGGAAACUGGCGAACUGGAGUGUGGCAGAGGGGGGUGGAAUUCCGCGUGUAGCAGUGAAAUGCGUAGAGAUCCGGAGGAACACCAGUGGCGAAGGCGACACGCUGGGCCGUACCUGACACUGAUGCGCGACAGCAUGGGGAGCAAACAGG
rnacentral:rRNA from 1 species